GACGAACCGUGCGAACGUUGUUCGGAAUCACUGGGCUUAAAGGGCGCGUAGGCGGCGACUCAAGUCCGGGGUGAAAGCCCCCGGCUCAACCGGGGAAGUGCCUUGGAUACUGGGUCGCUAGAGGGAGGUAGGGGUCGAGGGAACUUCUGGUGGAGCGGUGAAAUGCGUUGAUAUCAGAAGGAACGCCGGUGGCGAAAGCGCUCGACUGGACC
rnacentral:rRNA from 1 species